GUCCACGCCGUAAACGAUGGAUACUAGCUGUUGGGCGCAAGUUCAGUGGCUAAGCGAAAGUGAUAAGUAUCCCACCUGGGGAGUACGAACGCAAGUUUGAAACUCAAAGGAAUUGACGGGGGCCCGCACAAGCGGUGGAGCAUGUGGUUUAAUUCGAUGAUACGCGAGGAACCUUACCAAGGCUUAAAUGUAGAUUGACCAGUUUGGAAACAGACUUUUUCGCAAGACAAUUUACAAGGUGCUGCAUGGUUGUCGU
rnacentral:rRNA from 1 species